GACGUAGGGCGCGAGCGUUGUCCGGAUUUAUUGGGCGUAAAGAGCUCGUAGGCGGCUUGUCGCGUCGUUCGUGAAAACCUGCAGCUCAACUGCAGGCUUGCGGUCGAUACGGGCAGGCUAGAGGCUGGUAGGGGCAAGCGGAAUUCCUGGUGUAGCGGUGGAAUGCGCAGAUAUCAGGAAGAACACCGAUGGCGAAGGCAGUUCUCUGGGCCGUAACUGACGCUGAGGAGCGAAAGCGUGGGGAGCGAACAGG
rnacentral:rRNA from 1 species